CUAGAUACCUUCCAUUUUUCAUAGAACUCAGCCCUUAAUCCCUGAAAACAGGCUGCAAAAAUUGACUCUGUUGAUUAGUUCUUGUCAGGUGUUUUUCCCCACUUUUCAAUUUGCUUCACAAGGACCUCCUCAUAUCACUCUUUCUUGAUGUUGAAAAAUGGACAGGAUCUUGACACUGCACAUUCCCUAGUCAUCAUGUCACAGUGGCCUGGAGUGAUCCAAAGUUUGCUGUGGACGAGUAUGUGGGAAUGCUACCUGUCUCUGGUGUUGAAGAGUGGAUAACUGCUCUGUUUCCUUCAUUUUCUAUCCAACGGCUCACAUGGGUGAAAAACACCUCCCUUCUCUCAGGUGGGAGCCAUCAAGUUGAGGUUUAAGUUUGAUUCAACUCAAUGAGAAUGGUGGUUCUUUAAAAGGAUGCAGAGAAAUCUCACAGAGCUCAAGGACAAGAUGUGAAGCUGGGCUUAAUGGGAACCAGGAAGCAAUCAAGAAAGGAGACUCUCUUUUUCUUUUUUUGGAGCUGCAUAGAUGAUCUCUUUUUGUCUUCUCUGUAAAUUUCUGGUUCUCUCCACCCAUUGCCGUCCUUUGCUGAUCUUCAUCAAGAUCCAAAGUGGCCAUCAGAUCUACACAGCAAUCCUUCGGUUCCUAUAGCUGCCACUCAUUGGCUGGAAAACGUGUCGUUUAGUUCAAAAGCCUUAAGUUAGAAAAAUCUCAGAGGGUAAUGUCCAGUCAGUGGAUUAGGUAGGCUUGAGCCAGUGUCCAUCUCUGGGCAAUCAGCCAUGAUCAGGGCCAGCAGAGUCAUACAGUGGGUGCAGCUGCCUGUGUGUUAGGCUAUGGGAAAGUUCAUGUUCUGAGUUGGGCAUGCAACAGAUCUGAAUACAGGAAGUUCCCAGGAUGCCAUGGUUUCCAGACUUCUGUGAUGCUGAAAUUGAGGAAAGCCAGUUUGUCUAUGAAAAGUUCUAUAUGGCAAGAGCCUCCAGCCAACAGACAGAAGGUUUAAGACCUUCAGUCAGUCCUACAUCCAGGAGAAACUGAAUCUUGACAACAAUGACAUGAGUGAUUUUGGAGUGGAGCAUCCCUGAGUCAAGCCCUGAGUCAAGACCGCAGCCCCAGGCAUCAUCCUGACUGAAACCGCAAAAGAGACCAGGGCCAGAGGCACUCAGUUAAACCACACCGGAAUUCCUGACCCACUGGAAAUGUGAUAAAAUAAACGUGUGUUAUUUUGAGC
rnacentral:lncRNA from 1 species